GGCUUCAUGUGAGGGCACUGGACCUAAACCACAGUGUCUCCAGUAAUACGUCCUUUUAAAAACUCUUGAGUUAAUAGUGUCUAAAUUAUGAAUUGAUUCCCCAAAAGAAGAUGCACAGACUUGUCAAAACUGGUUUUAUUUAUAUUGCAAUUUGGUAGAUUUGAUAAAUGUGUGCUUAACCAGUUACAAAUACAAGCAAUUUUUACAGGGAUGAGUCUUUCCCUGAGAAUGUUACCUAAAAACAGGAACUGCUGGUGCCCAAUUUAGGGUUUUUAGUGUGGAGAAAUAGAAUGUAUGAGGGAUAAGGUGCCUGAGCAGCUUGCUGAAGCUUUCAAAGACCAUUGCCUCGUGUUUUAAUGCAACUCCUUUAUUAAUCUUUGUCCCAUUGGAUAAAUUUUAGUUCAGCAGGAUAUUUUUUUAACUGAAAUUUGAAUGCUUGAAUUUUGCCUUUUUACACAAAAAUUUAAAGGGGUUUAAUUUCCUCAGCUUUUUAAGAGCCCUUCCUCCAACUUCUAAAAAAAAAUUCUUUAAAGUGCUAAUGAUUACGCUUUGGUUUGGGUUUUGGUAGAUGUUUGAUUAUCUAAACAUGAUGUUUUUAUCUUAGCCUUAUCCUGCCACUAAUGCUCUUUUAAUAAUUUCACCUUUCUGCAGAAUAUAACUUUGCUUAUCGAUGAUCUUGAUCUCUUACUUGGACUUUUGAAGAGUUUUAAAGUAAUUGGGAUAAUAAUGUGAAUGAGUUAGUUUCAUUUCCAAAAUAUGACAGUUUUAAAACUGUUGCCUUACCUGAAUAAGCUUCUUCCUAAUUAGAUGUAUAGCCAUUUGCUUGGUGGGCUAAUCCUUAAAGCAAACCCUCUAAAACUUAGCUUCACUCUAUGAGAUCUUCCAGAUGAAAAAUUUUCUACCUCUUUUCAUGAAUCUUCUGAUGAUCAGGGAUGCUAAAUUUUAAUUUGAUGUGUAUUAGCUCACAUAAUGUGAAGAGGCUUAAUGUUGUGACGUUUUGUUAGUUUGGUCUCAUUUUUAUUAAGUAUCUCACUUAGAAAACUUGCAAACACUAAAAUGGUAUACUUGCAAGCACUAAAAUCUUCUUCACCAUAUCUUGUUGACAAAUGUUACACAACUGAGAUUUACUUUUAGCACUUUCCCUUGGUGGAGGUAGCCAUAUUAAGUUAGGGAACAUGUAAGCAAUGUAGGG